CAACCACGUUAGGUUACCAACGACACUUUGUGCCAAACGAUGAAUCUCGUACGAAGCUGCAGGUGGUGAGAACCCAAUCUCGCCAGUUAGUUGGCGUCUUACAUUGGCCGCUGUACAUUGCGAAUAUGUGUCCCAUGAGUUCACGCUUUGUGGAAUACGACGGUGCAGGCGGACCUCACAUUCUCAAGCCAUGACCCUUCAUCGGGUGCUCUUCACAGCGAUGUGCAUGGACAAAUGC